GCUGCGCAUCGCCCCUUUCAGCCAGACUGCGAGAUCACUUCCUCUUCCGAUCGUUCUUGUGCACCGUCCCAGUUUGCCAUCCCGGCCAGCCAGCCCCGGGCGCCUCCAUGAGCGGCCACACUCGCCGCCUCGACCUCCAUGGAAUCUCCUCCGAGCGCCACUCCGACAUGGCUACUCCGGACAAUAAUCUUUACGCUCCUGUCGGUGAUACCUGCCGUCCUAGGGUUGGUCCCCACACAAUCCAAUCUCGCCCGCCCACCCAACGCAUGCGCGGCAAAGCUCUCCUCCGACCGCCACUCCCUGGCAAAAUCCCCCUCCUCCUAAUCUCCGAGCUUAUCGACAAGACACCCAUGAUGAACCUCAACAAUUAAUGUCAUCAAGGGAGCCCUAUUGCAGCGUAAGGACAGGUUGCCUCUUCCACGUGUCCCUCUCUUUGUAAUCAAGUCUAAGUUUCAUGCCAUAUGCAGAAAAGUUUGGUUCACAAGAAUAGGAAAUUUGAUAUCAGCCUGUAGCAUGUGAAAUUUUGCUCUCUUUGCCCUUGGUAGAUUAUUUUGCUAAUACUGCUACCGGCACCAUGGGACUCAGUGCCACCGCCUACUGAUGCUGAUUUAAGUAUCAUGAUAGUUUGUGAAAGUAGCUACCUAGAUACAGCAUUACAUCGAUGGUUAGGAUCUAGAUCAUACCUUGACUGAUGGUGGGUUUUCUUGUCAGAGCAAACCAUUUUAGGGAUUUCUAUAUCUACGAUUCAUGCCAGUGUAAUUUUUCUAUGAUGCAUCAUAUCUACCUUCAGUGGCAUACGUCAUGUAUAAGAUACCAGAGUGUAGGAGAUCGCUACAUAAUUCCGUAGCAGAAUCAUGAGUCUGUUGUAUGUAGGCUUGUUGUGUUUCUCAUGAUCUGUAUUAGCAAAGUUGUAGGCCAAGAUCUCCUACGGUUCAACAGUAAAUGCUGCCAUAAGGGUCACCAAGAGACCAGAGAAUUUCGGGAAGAUGAUAGUGGUGAUAUUUGUUGUCGGUGUUGUUCCAUUCCAUCCAGAAGAGUCCAAGAAAAUGCAGACCGAGAUGAUGCAAAAGGGAGAGAGAUGGCACAUGUGGCAAGUGAAACAUCUCUGCGAGAAGACACUCAGAACAUUUGUGGCAUAGAACUCCUUGAUUACGGAAGCACGCUUGAAUUCAGAGAAGGUCACAACUGUCAAAAAGAGGAAUCAUUGCUUUGAGUUCAUCAUAUUCUCCUUUCUUUUACAUUUCAAAUUAUUAAUUGCAUUGCUACUCUUUAUUCAGGAAUUCAUUAUAUUCAAUUCAAGUACAUUUUUAAGGUUUGACUUCAUUAUCCGAUUGUCGGUGGGACAGUGGUUUACAAUUGCAUUUGCAUAGUAGAAUGGUUGUAAAUGCACUAUGAAUUAAAUGGAUGGUGUCAUCGCUAGAGAGGACACUGGUGUUGAUUUUCUAUGA